rnacentral:lncRNA from 1 species
UAUCCAUUUUUAUUUAUUCACUUUUUUUCUAUUAUCGAAACAUGGGUGCUUGAUUUUUCCUUCAAUUUAACCUGAUCAGUGCAAUUAAGUUUAUGUGUCAAGUGCCUUGUGAUAUUGUAGAUGACUUUGAACAAGUGGAGAAAUGUUUGUAUUCAUGAAAGAAAUUUCAUCCUCAUCACCCUGCUUGUAAUUUAUAGACUUAAUGGUAACUCAAAUGGAUGGACAAGGCUCCAUUUGGUUUCCUAUUUUU